GUGAUUGGGUAACCGCUACAGUUUAUCUGUAGAGGAAAGUCCAUGCUCGCACAGGCUGUGAUGCCUGUAGUGUUCGUGCCUAGCGAAAAAAUAAGCUAGGGUAGUCUGGUUUAUACUGGGCUAACGGCAGGGAAAGCACCUAAGUCGAGAGAUAUGGUGUGAAUACCUUGAAAGUGCCACAGUGACGUAGUCCGGCAAGAAAUUGCAGGAGUGGAACGCGGUAAACCCCUCGAGCGAGAAACCCAAACAAUGGUAGGGGCACCUUCUCUAUGGAAUCCGAACGAAUGAGAAGGACAGAUGAUCUUAUAUUAUCUGUAGACAGAUGGUUACCACCUGAGUACAAGGAGCAAUCCGUUUGCAGUACAAAGGAACAGAACAUGGCUUACAGAU
rnacentral:RNase_P_RNA from 1 species